rnacentral:rRNA from 1 species
ACGGGCGCAGCAGGCGCGAAAACUUCGCAAUGGGGGAAACCCCGAYGAGGGAAACCCAAGUGCCAGCACUAUGUGCUGGCUGUUUUCCUGUSUWAAAAACAGGGAGAGUAAGGGCUGGGUAAGACGGGUGCCAGCCGCCGCGGUAAUACCUGCAGCCCAAGUGGUGCUCGUUAUUAUUGGGUCUAAAUCGUCCGUAGUCGGCUGAGUAGAUGCCUGGGUAAAUCGAAGCGCUUAACGUAUCGAAUUCCGGGUAGACCGCUCGGCUAGGGACCGGGAGAGGUGUGAGGUACUCUGGGGGUAGGGGUAAAAUCCUGUAAUCCUUGGGGGACCACCAGUGGCGAAGGCGUCACACUAGAACGACUCCGACGAUCAGGGACGAAGCCCUGGGGCGCAAACGGGAUUAGAUACCCCGGUAGUCCAGGGUGUAAACGCUGCCGACUUGGUGUCGCGGAUCCUACGAGGGUACCCGGUGCCGGAGAGAAGAUGUAAGCCUGCUACCUGGGGAGUACGGUCGCAAGACUGAAACUUAAAGGAAUUUGGGCGGGG